rnacentral:rRNA from 1 species
ACGGAAGGCAGCAGUGGGGGAUAUUGCACAAUGGGGGAAACCCUGAUGCAGCAACGCCGCGUGAAGGAAGAAGGUCUUCGGAUCGUAAAGCUCUGUUGAGAGGGACGAGAGAUAAUGUCAGGAAAUGGGCAUUAGAGGACGGUACCUUUCGAGGAAGCCACGGCUAACUACGUGCCAGCAGCCGCGGUAAUACGUAGGUGGCGAGCGUUGUCCGGAAUUAUUGGGCGUAAAGGGAGCGCAGGUGGGAUUGCAAGUCAGUCUUAAAAGUGCGGGGCUCAACCCCGUGAUGGGAUUGAAACUGCGGUUCUUGAGUGCAGGAGAGGAAAGCAGAAUUCCUAGUGUAGCGGUGAAAUGCGUAGAUAUUAGGAGGAACACCAGUGGCGAAGGCGGCUUUCUGGACUGUAACUGACACUGAGGCUCGAAAGCGUGGGGAGCGAACAGGAUUAGAUACCCUGGUA